AAGGAAAUGUCAUAAAGAUAAAGGCUAAGAGGCCCAAUCUUUAAAAAGAGCUGUGAAAAGGGUAGGAAAUAAACAACAACACAAGAUGGGGAAAAUGACAGGACUGAUGUGAUUUCCAUGGGUGGAAAAUUCCACCAAAUUGUAAAUAGUUUCUCUUCCUAAGUUCACAGUAAGAUUGUCAGUGCUGAUAAACUACACCUAGGAGAUGCCAAGUUGGGAAGAUGACAUCUUUCAAGGAUGUGGAAUCCAAUUCUCCCUUCAGAGAUGGGAAAAAAGGAGUGGGCCAUCAUGAAAGCAUUGGGAUGAGGAAGCUGAGGUAUGUCCAGAGAACUUUAAUUACUUGGUCAAAGUCCCAUAGUCAGUAUGUAGUGGCAGGGAAUUUCCCAGCCU
rnacentral:lncRNA from 1 species